UACGUAGGGGGCGAGCGUUGUCCGGAAUCAUUGGGCGUAAAGAGCUCGUAGGCGGUUCAGCAAGUCGGCUGUGAAAUUCCGAGGCUCAACCUCGGAACUGCAGUCGAUACUGCUGUGACUCGAGUCCGGUAGAGGAGAAUGGAAUUCCCGGUGUAGCGGUGAAAUGCGCAGAUAUCAGGAGGAACACCGGUGGCGAAGGCGGGUCUCUGGGCCGAUACUGACGCUGAGGAGCGAAAGCGUGGGGAGCGAACAGG
rnacentral:rRNA from 1 species